UGGGGAAUCUUGGACAAUGGGCGCAAGCCUGAUCCAGCCAUGCCGCGUGAGUGAAGAAGGCCUUCGGGUUGUAAAGCUCUUUUGUCAGGGAAGAAACGGUAGUAGCGAAUAACUACUACUAAUGACGGUACCUGAAGAAUAAGCACCGGCUAACUACGUGCCAGCAGCCGCGGUAAUACGUAGGGUGCAAGCGUUAAUCGGAAUUACUGGGCGUAAAGCGUGCGCAGGCGGUUGUGUAAGUCAGAUGUGAAAUCCCCGGGCUCAACCUGGGAAUUGCAUUUGAGACUGCACGGCUAGAGUGUGUCAGAGGGGGGUAGAAUUCCACGUGUAGCAGUGAAAUGCGUAGAUAUGUGGAGGAAUACCGAUGGCGAAGGCAGCCCCCUGGGAUAACACUGACGCUCAUGCACGAAAGCGUGGGGAGCAAACAGGAUUAGAUACCCAAGUAUUCCCUGAGCGGGCUGGCAAGGCGCAU
rnacentral:rRNA from 1 species